UAUGCUGUGAAACCCAGCAAGUUAACCCCCUUCUGAAAUGUGGCCCCAACCAUGGAGUUUCUGUCUUAAACAGAGCCCUGGAGGGACCCAGCCUACUCCAAAGGGGAGAGUUUAUUCAUAACCUCGUGGACAAAGUUAAGAGAAACUAACUAGCAAUGAAUGGUCCGGAAUCCCCUGGAAAAUCAGAAAAAUGCUAUCUGCCCCUCUGAAGCCUGAGAGGUCAUCCAAGCUUGAGCUCAUUUCCAAAAGGAAAUAACGCCUGCCCCAAAUCUCCACCUGCCACGGCCACCUCUCUGGACCUCCAGCUGCCAGGGGCUGACAGUAAGUCACAGAAGCGCGUUGAUUUCUCAAGGGAAAGAUGAGCAAAGUGAAUGCAGAACUCCUCCAUGCACCGGAUGAAAAACCCUGUGCAGGAAGGCAAAUGAGAAGGAUCUUUCUGUUUGAUGACAGCAGUAACGAUGAUGGUGAGAGAGAUGAUCACAACCGUGAGAACAUUUGAAAACACAUCGGCGAACAUUCACGGGUCUUUCAAGCCUGGGUUCAAAUCUCACAUCUGCCGUUUACCAGCUGCCUGACCUUGGGCAAGCGAGCUAAUGUGUUCUGUUUUCUCAUCAUAAAUUAAAAAUAAC